GAAGUUGGCUGGGCAGUCGCUGUUUUUAUUGACAGAGGAAAGUCCGGGCUCCACGGGCAGGAUGCCAGGUAAUACCUGGGAGGCGCGAGUCUACGGAAAGUGCAACAGAGAAUAAACUGCCAGUAAUAUUACUGGUAAAGGUGAAAAGGUGUGGUAAGAGCACACCGCACAAUUGGUAACAUUUGUGGCUAGGCAAACCCCAUCCGGAGCAAGACCAAAUAGGGGAGCGUUUUAAAUGAAGCCCACAUAAAGCUCCCGGGUAGGUUGCUAGAGAGGAGUGGCGACACUCUUCCCAGAUGAAUGACUGCACAAGACAGAACCCGGCUUAUAGGCCAACUUCUACC
rnacentral:RNase_P_RNA from 1 species